rnacentral:rRNA from 1 species
GACGAACGCUGGCGGCGCGCUUAACACAUGCGAGUCGAACGGAAAGGCCUGCUUUCCCUUGUGGAUUGCGGGUACUCGAGUGGCGAACGGGUGAGUAACACGUGAGUGAUCUGCCCCCAACUUGGGUAUAAGCCUGGGAAACUGGGUCUAAUUCCCGAUAGGACUGCAGGGUGGUGCCUGUGGUGGAAAACGAUUUUCUAGUGGUUGGGGAUGAGCUCGCGGCCUAUCAGCUUGUUGGUGGGGUAAUGGCCUACCAAGGCGGCGACGGGUAGCCGGCCUGAGAGGGUGGACGGCGACAUUGGGACUGAGAUACGGCCCAGACUCCUACGGGAGGCAGCAGUGGGGAAUAUUGCACAAUGGGCGGAAGCCUGAUGCAGCGACGCCGCGUGGGGGAUGACGGCCUUCGGGUUGUAAACUCCUUUCGACCGCGAGGAAGCCACCUGGUUGGAAGGGUGGUGACGGUAGUGGUAGAAGAAGCACCGGCUAACUACGUG